rnacentral:rRNA from 1 species
AGGACGAACGCUGGCGGCGUGCUUAACACAUGCAAGUCGAGCGAUGAAAUCCCUCGGGGAUGGAUUAGCGGCGGACGGGUGAGUAACACGUGGGUAACCUGCCUCAUAGAGGGGGAAUAGCCUUUCGAAAGGAAGAUUAAUACCGCAUAAGAUUGUAGUUUCGCAUGAAACAGCAAUUAAAGGAGUAAUCCGCUAUGAGAUGGACCCGCGCCGCAUUAGCUAGUUGGUGAGGUAACGGCUCACCAAGGCGACGAUGCGUAGCCGACCUGAGAGGGUGAUCGGCCACAUUGGGACUGAGACACGGCCCAGACUCCUACGGGAGGCAGCAGUGGGGAAUAUUGCACAAUGGGGGAAACCCUGAUGCAGCAACGCCGCGUGAGUGAUGACGGUCUUCGGAUUGUAAAGCUCUGUCUUUAGGGACGAUAAUGACGGUACCUAAGGAGGAAGCCACGGCUAACUACGUGCCAGCCGCCGC